rnacentral:rRNA from 1 species
GAUGAACGCUGGCGGCGUGCCUAAUACAUGCAAGUCGAGCGAACAGACGAGGAGCUUGCUCCUCUGACGUUAGCGGCGGACGGGUGAGUAACACGUGGAUCACCUACCUAUAAGACUGGGAUAACUUCGGGAAACCGGAGCUAAUACCGGAUAAUAUAUUGAUCCGCAUGGUUCAAUAGUGAAAGACGGUUUUGCUGUCACUUCUCGAUGGAUCCGCGCCGCAUUAGCUAGUUGGUAAGGUAACGGCUUACCAAGGCAGCGAUGGGUAGCCGACCUGAGAGGGCGAUCGGCCACAAAGAAGCUGAGACACGGUCCAGACGCCGACGGAAGGCAGCAGUAGGGAAGCUGCCGGAAUGGGCGAAAGCCGGACGGAGAAACGCCGCGUGAGUGAUGAAGGUCUUAGGAUCAUAAAAGGCUGUUAUUAGGGAAGACCAAAGGGGUAAGAAACUAUGCAAGGCUUGAAGGUACCUAAGCAGAAAGCAACGGCUAACUACGUG